AAUCAACGCUGGCGGCGUGCCUCAGACAUGCAAGUCGAACGAUUAAGACUUCCUUCGGGAAGUGCAUAAAGUGGCGCACGGGUGAGUAACACGUAAGUAAUCUACCUUCGAGUGGGGAAUAACGUUCGGAAACGAACGCUAAUACCGCAUAAUGCAGCGGCAUCGCAAGAUGACAGUUGUUAAAGGAAUUUAUUUCGCUUGAAGAGGAGCUUGCGGCAGAUUAGCUAGUUGGUAAGGUAACGGCUUACCAAGGCUACGAUCUGUAUCCGGUCUAAGAGGACGGUCGGACACACUGACACUGAAUAACGGGUCAGACUCCUACGGGAGGCAGCAGUCGGGAAUUUGGGCAAUGGGCGAAAGCCUGACCCAGCAACGCCGCGUGAAGGAUGAAGUAUUUCGGUAUGUAAACUUCGAAAGAAUAGGAAGAAUAAAUGACGGUACUAUUUAUAAGGUCCGGCUAACUACGUGCCAGCAGCCGCGGUAAU
rnacentral:rRNA from 1 species